GGGCUGCAGUAUUUUGACUGUACAAMGGUAGCAUAAUCAAUAGUCUUUUAAUUGGUGACUUGUAUGAAAGAUUGGAUGAAAUAUAUACUGUCUYUAAAUAAUUUUUAGAAAUUAAUUUUUUAGUUAAAAAGCUAAAAUAAUUUUAAAAGACGAGAAGACCCUAUAGAGUUUAAUAAUUUAUUUUAUUGUUAUUAUUAUAUAAUUUUUAAAAUUAAAAUUAAAUAAAUUAUUUUGUUGGGGUGAUAAAAAAAUUAAAUUAACUUUUUUUAGUUUUUUACAUUGAUUUAUGAUUAUAUGAUCCAUUAAUAGUGAUAAAAAGAAAAAAUUACCUUAGGGAUAACAGCGUAAUUUUUUUUUUUAGUUCAAAUAGGAAAAAAAGUUUGCGACCUCGAUGUUGGAUUAA
rnacentral:rRNA from 1 species